AUAUCAAUAAGCGGAGGAAAAGAAACCAACCGGGAUUGCCUCAGUAACGGCGAGUGAAGCGGCAACAGCUCAAAUUUGAAAUCUGGCUCCCUCGGGGCGCCCGAGUUGUAAUUUGGAGAGGAUGUUUCGGGCAAGGCGGCGGUCUAAUUUGCUUGGAACAGCAAGUCAAAGAGGGUGAGAAUCCCGUCCAGGAUCGUUCGCCGCGCCCAUGUGAAGCUCCUUCGACGAGUCGAGUUGUUUGGGAAUGCAGCUCUAAAUGGGUGGUAAAUUUCAUCUAAAGCUAAAUAUGGGCCGGAGACCGAUAGCGCACAAGUAGAGUGAUCGAAAGAUGAAAAGCACUUUGAAAAGAGAGUUAAACAGUAUGUGAAAUUGUUGAAAGGGAAGCGCUUGCAACCAGACUUGUGGCUGACGGUUCCCCCGACCUUCUGGCCGGGUUACUCCGUCACGUCCAGGCCAACAUCGGUUUGGGUGGUCGGUUAAAGGCUCCGGGAAUGUAUCUACCUUCGGGUCGACUUAUAGCCCGGGGUGCAAUGCGGCCCACCCGGACCGAGGAACGCGCUCCGGCUCGGAUGUUGGCGUAAUGGUUGUAAGCGGCCCGUCUUGAAACACGGACCAAGGAGUCUAACAUCUAUGCGAGUGUCUGGGUGUGAAGCCCCUACGCGGAAUGAAAGUGAACGGAGGUAAGAACCCCGUCAGGGGCGCAUUAUCGACCGAUCCUGAUGUCUUCGGAUGGAUUUGAGUAAGAGCAUAGCUGUUGGGACCCGAAAGAUGGUGAACUAUGCAUGAAUAGGGUGAAGCCAGAGGAAACUCUGGUGGAGGCUCGCAGCGGUUCUGACGUGCAAAUCGAUCGUCAAAUUUGUGCAUAGGGGCGAAAGACUAAUCGAACCAUUGGGGAAACCGUCGAGUAGAGGGUGUGACCGGGUGGUUCUUGAACAGUCCUGCGGGGCUACAUCGUCCUUCUGGCGGGUAUUUAUCACCCGCAGCAGUUUUGGCUGUUCACAGACUAGGAGACGGUGGUCAUCUUGACCGCAAGAUGAUGAUGAUAUAGUCGGUCGCGGUGAAACGUCCUGAACCGUGAAUCAACGCUGGUAGCUGGUUCCUGUCGAAGUUUCCCUCAGGAUAGCAGUAACGUUUUCAGUUUUAUGAGGUAAAGCGAAUGAUUAGAGGCCUUGGGGUUGUAACAACCUUAACCUAUUCUCAAACUUUAAAUAUGUAAGAAGUCCUUGUUACUUGAUUGAACGUGGACAUUUGAAUGUAUCGUUACUAGUGGGCCAUUUUUGGUAAGCAGAACUGGCGAUGCGGGAUGAACCGAACGUGAGGUUAAGGUGCCGGAAUGUACGCUCAUCAGACACCACAAAAGGUGUCAAUGCAUCCAGACAGCCGGACGGUGGCCAUGGAAGUCGGAAUCCGCUUAGGAGUGUGUAACAACUCACCGGCCGAAUGCAUUGGCCCUGAAAAUGGAUGGCGCUUAAGCGUGCUACCUAUACCUCGCCGUUGGGGUUGAAAUGAUGCCCCAACGAGUAGGCAGGCGUGGGGGUUGGUGACGAAGCCUUGGGGGUGACCCCGGGUCGAACAACCUCUAGUG
rnacentral:rRNA from 1 species